rnacentral:ncRNA from 1 species
GUACGAUAACGGCAAACCCGCCGAAAGGCGGCGACGCAAAGCCAUGGGUCUAACUUCCUUGACGGGAACACGAUUGCCAGGCUGCCGAA